rnacentral:lncRNA from 1 species
AAUUAUGAGGAAAGAAGCUCUCAGCAUUCCAAAGCAGAAGGAACAACUGUCUUGAAUAUGUCGAAAAUUGCUGUCUUUAAGCAGAUGAAGCACCCAGAGGACCACAAUCCUCGGAUUUUAUGAGAAGACCUUCUGCCCUGCCUGCCCUUUUGAGACCUUUAUCUGAAAAGGAACCUGCAAUCCUAGAAAAGAGGUGGAGGCAGGCUUGAUUCAGUUAAGGAAGUUCUUUCUUCUCAGCAAUUACCACGCCAAUUCUGUGGAAAAGCAACAUUUGGAAGACGAGAGAAAUCCACUGUAGGAAGUAUUAGAAAUACCUGCAAUUAGGCUUCAAACAAGCAAAUGAGGGCAGGAAAAGUAAAUGACGACAGCCUGUGUCCUCUCCAUGACACCACUCUGCCUCCAUGGAACCACUCUGCCCCCAUGGAUCUCUCCAGUUUUAAGUCUGGGGAAAUCUAUCAAUCACACAAUUUCAGUUAGCAUUCCAAGAACUAGGGGAAGGCCCGAGUAAUCUAUUCAAAGACAUGCUUCAGAAAGAACACACCGACCCCAUGGAGAGUUAAACCUGAUUACCAAGAAGCAGGAUAGUUAGGUGUUUCCGCUAUUUACAUAAUCAUUGUAAAUAUAAGUUACAGACUAAUUACAAUGAUAAUUAUGACAAUGAGCCUGGCAUGGAGGAAGAGUUUAAUAAAUAAUAUUUGAUGAAUGAA